rnacentral:rRNA from 1 species
UACGGAGGGUGCAAGCGUUGUCCGGAUUUAUUGGGUUUAAAGGGUGCGUAGGCGGCCUUUUAAGUCAGUGGUGAAAGCCCUCAGCUCAACUGAGGAACUGCCAUUGAUACUGAAAGGCUUGAGUACAGACGAGGUAGGCGGAAUUGAAGAUGUAGCGGUGAAAUGCAUAGAUAUCUUCAAGAACACCGAUUGCGUAGGCAGCUUACUAGGCUGUAACUGACGCUGAGACGCGAAAGCGUGGGGAGCGAACAGG